AUGUGCUUUUGUUUUUAUCAGAUGUUAUAUCGAGAUUAUCUGAGGUUCACUAGACAAUAUUGAUAACAACUUGAUAUUUAAGGGUUCAGAUAUUUGGUGGACAUUUCAAAAUGUCUAUCUCUUAAUCAGUAUCUGUUUAUAUAUACAUGUAUAUGUCUAUUUUCAAGGCCAAAUUACUGCGGCGGUUGUAAUAGGAUAUGGUAUACAAAAGGUGGUAGCGAUGUAACAAAAAGAUGUGCAUUCGAAUGUCCAAAUAGCAGUGAUUGUCUACCAGGAGUACCUCAUACGCCAUGUUUCAUAAAUCCAUGUGAUGGGAAAAGCUGUAAUGGCCAUCCAAAUGCUGUAUGUUGUCCAGUAUAUUGUGGAGGAUGUCAUGAUUUAUGGUUUGUUAACGGUUUGAGAGUCACUUGCCAAUAAUA